rnacentral:rRNA from 1 species
CGAGCGAAUGGAUUGAGAGCUUGCUCUCAAGAAGUUAGCGGCGGACGGGUGAGUAACACGUGGGUAACCUGCCCAUAAGACUGGGAUAACUCCGGGAAACCGGGGCUAAUACCGGAUAACAUUUUGAACUGCAUGGUUCGAAAUUGAAAGGCGGCUUCGGCUGUCACUUAUGGAUGGACCCGCGUCGCAUUAGCUAGUUGGUGAGGUAACGGCUCACCAAGGCAACGAUGCGUAGCCGACCUGAGAGGGUGAUCGGCCACACUGGGACUGAGACACGGCCCAGACUCCUACGGGAGGCAGCAGUAGGGAAUCUUCCGCAAUGGACGAAAGUCUGACGGAGCAACGCCGCGUGAGUGAUGAAGGCUUUCGGGUCGUAAAACUCUGUUGUUAGGGAAGAACAAGUGCUAGUUGAAUAAGCUGGCACCUUGACGGUACCUAACCAGAAAGCCACGGCUAACUACGUGCCAGCAGCCGCGGUAAUACGUAGGUGGCAAGCGUUAUCCGGAAUUAUUGGGCGUAAAGCGCGCGCAGGUGGUUUCUUAAGUCUGAUGUGAAAGCCCACGGCUCAACCGUG